CCCUCCCAACUCACAGCUAGAGGCUUUAAGCAACCUGAUAAGGAUGCUGGAGUGUGACAAAAAGAAAGAACGCCUGGAGGGGUUCCCUUCAAAUGACAGUGAAUUUCACAUCUGAAAUCAUGGAGUGCAGAAAUAUGUCUCCUUGGGCAAGGGAAACAAAAGAAAAAGUGAACAAAUGGGACAUCCUCAAACUAAGGACAUUUUGCACAGUGAAGGAAACCAUCAACAAAAAAUGAAAAGACAACCUACUGAAUGGAAGAAGAUACUCACCAAUGAUACAUCGGUUAAGGGGUUAAUAUCCAAAAUAUAUAAGGAAUUCAUAUAACUUAACACAAGCAAACAAUUACAUUAAGAAGUGGGCAGAGGACCUGAAUAGACAUUUUUUCAAAGAAGACAUACAGAUGUUCAAUAGACA